rnacentral:SRP_RNA from 1 species
GCCAAGUGUGGUGGCGCAUACCUGUAGUCCCAGCUACUUGGGAGGCUGAGGUGGGAGGAUCACUUGAGCCCAGGAGGCAGAGGUUGCAGUGAGCCCAGAUUGUGCCACUGCAUUCCAGCCUGGGCAACACAGUGAGACCCCAUCUCAA